GUCCGGGCGUUAUCCGGAUUUAUUGGGCGUAAAGGGAGCGCAGGCGGCACGGCAAGUCUGGUGUGAAAGCCCGGGGCCCAACCCCGGGACUGCAUUGGAAACUGCCGGGCUGGAGUGCCGGAGGGGUAAGCGGAAUUCCUGGUGUAGCGGUGAAAUGCGCAGAUAUCAGGAAGAACACCGGUGGCGGAGGCGGCUUACUGGACGGCAACUGACGCUGAGGCUCGAAAGCGUGGGGAGCAAAC
rnacentral:rRNA from 1 species